rnacentral:ribozyme from 1 species
GCUGCUGCUGCUCAACCGGAUCUCUGUCUCGCUCUCUAACGAUAUCUUCAUGCCUCGUU